UACGUAGGCAGCGAGCGUUGUUCGGAGUUACUGGGCGUAAAGGGUGUGUAGGCGGUUUUUUUAAGUUUGGUGUGAAAUCUCCCGGCUCAACUGGGAGGGUGCGCCGAAUACUGAAAGACUCGAGUGCGGGAGAGGAAAGUGGAAUUCCUGGUGUAGCGGUGAAAUGCGUAGAUAUCAGGAGGAACACCGGUGGUGUAGACGGCUUUCUGGACCGUAAC
rnacentral:rRNA from 1 species